rnacentral:rRNA from 1 species
GCAGCAGCCACGGUAAUACGGAAGGUCCAGGCGUUAUCCGGAUUUAUUGGGUUUAAAGGGAGUGUAGGCGGUCUGUUAAGCGUGUUGUGAAAUUUAGGUGCUCAACAUCUAACUUGCAGCGCGAACUGGCGGACUUGAGUGCACGCAACGUAUGCGGAAUUCAUGGUGUAGCGGUGUAAUGCUUAGAUAUCAUGACGAACUCCGAUUGCGAAGGCAGCGUACGGGAGUGUUACUGACGCUUAAGCUCGAAGGUGCGGGUAUCGAACAGGAUUAGAUACCCGCGUAGUCCCUGUCUCUUAUAU